CACAGUUUAACUGGUUGUGCGCACCCGCUCCAGGGCCUUGACGGCCGCACCCAGACAGCGCCCCGCCCCCGGGGACUCCAACCCCCCAUAGAUCCAGACAUCGGACUGGGGUCCCUUGGGGGUGCUCUUACAGGUGCCCACCCCCACCAGCCACACGGGCUGCCACCCUACGAGGGAGCGUGGGCCCUGCGAGCCCUCUUGCCCGCCCCCCACUUCCCGCAAACCCAGUGGCAGGAUGAUUGAUUUUUCGGGAAGAGCAGCCCCGAGGGUGGGGGUGGGGAGCCGGGGCGCCAGGGGAUCCUCGCUCCAUUUGCCUGUGGCUCUGAGUCAAAGCCAGGUCCCUCUGGGCGCGGUGUGAGGUGUUCCCCUGCCACUUGGCGGCCUGCGAGGAGCAGGGAGGGCCAUGCUGCCUUCCUCCGUGUCUACAAACUUUCCAAGAUUGUCACCACCUCUAAAUAGCAAAUAUUCCUGUCAUCUAUCUAGAAAGACUUUGCUGCCUCUGUGUUUUGGAAGCUUUGUCUUUUGCAGAUCAGGAAAGACAGGCUCAAGGGAUCAGACUCUUCGGAGAAUCAGAC
rnacentral:lncRNA from 1 species